rnacentral:rRNA from 1 species
GAUGAACGCUGGCGGCGUGCCUAAUACAUGCAAGUCGAGCGAACAGACGAGGAGCUUGCUCCUCUGACGUUAGCGGCGGACGGGUGAGUAACACGUGGAUAACCUACCUAUAAGACUGGGAUAACUUCGGGAAACCGGAGCUAAUACCGGAUAAUAUAUUGAACCGCAUGGUUCAAUAGUGAAAGACGGUUUUGCUGUCACUUAUAGAUGGAUCCGCGCCGCAUUAGCUAGUUGGUAAGGUAACGGCUUACCAAGGCAACGAUGCGUAGCCGACCUGAGAGGGUGAUCGGCCACCUUGGAACUUGGACACGGUCCAGGCUCCUACGGGAGGCAGCAGUAGGGAAUCUUCCGCAAUGGGCGAAAGCCUGACGGAGCAACGCCACGUGAGUGAUGAAGGUCUUCGGAUCGUAAAACUCUGUUAUUAGGGAAGAACAAAUGUGUAAGUAACUAUGCACGUCUUGACGGUACCUAAUCAGAAAGCCACGGCUAACUACGUG